AGACAGUGGUCAAGUCUUCACUUUUCUGAGCCUGCUCCUCAAAAAGGAUAAAUGUACCAUGGAAAAGCACCAGGUCUGGCUCUUUGCAGAGAUGAAAUCACAGAGAACAAUGAAGAAAAAACAUUUUGCUGCCAUGCAGAGAAUUCUUACCAGAGUUGAGAACCAACUUGUUAAAAGAAAGAAAAUUAAUUCUCCUUCAAAGCACAGAGCAACAACAGAUAUAAAGAACUACUAAAAGCCCUGAGUGAUGGUGUAUCUGCAGCAAGAGGAGCAGUUACACAUUAACAGCCGAGUCACCACAGCGUGAUCCAAGAUUGYAACUGAGCAUGAAUUACCAGCAGAGGCAGUAAAAGAAACUGGAACUAGGAAAAUACUUAGUGGACAUGAGUUAAAAURCUGUUCCACAUGUUUGACUGAAACUGGAAGGAGUUUGGUUGUACGGAAAAUGUGUUACUGAGGCUGUAUGUGUUGUUUGGGGCUCUCUUGUCCAUCCUGUAUUUUUGGGGGAAAUCAAUUUCUGCUUGACCAUGACAUUAUCUGRUAUCACGAGGUGUCUGUGAGGUAUUUAAAGAAUCUUGCUGAGCAGCAAAGCUCAUGCAAUAAGGAAACUGGAAGAGUUAAUGAGUUGUGAAGUCUAGAAAUCUUUAUCACAGGAAUUAGCAUGCAAAUUCCAGUUCCUAUUGCAAUCAAUUUUCCUAUUUGUUGUCACAUAUUUAAAAUKUUUCAUUAGCUUUCCCCUGUUGCAUUUUCCAGGUGGUCGCGGAUGUUGAUAGGAAAAAAAARUAGAAGCAACCUAAGCUGGAUAGUAGGACAUAGUAAAAGGCUAUGAAAAGUCUGGAAUGUGGAAAUAAACAAUGUUAAAAAAUAAAGAGCCCUGUGGUUAUGUGUAAGUUUAAAAUAAAUAUUUCUUUUCUUU